GCCCCCAUCGUCUAGAGGCCCAGGACGCCACCCUUUCAAGGUGGAGAUCGCCGGUUCGAAUCCGGCUGGGGGUA
rnacentral:tRNA from 1 species